rnacentral:rRNA from 1 species
AUUGAACGCUGGCGGCAGGCCUAACACAUGCAAGUCGAGCGGAGCGGCAGACGGGGGAGUGAUGCCUAGGAAUCUGCCUGGUAGCGGGGGAUAACGUCCGGAACUGGGCGCUAAUACCACAUACUUUCAGUUUCGCCUAGGUGGGAUUCGCUAGUUGGUGGGGUAAAGGCCUACCAUGGCGACGGUCCGUAACUGGUCUGAGAGGAUGAUCAGUCACACUGGAACUGAGACACGGCCCAGACUCCUACGGGAGGCAGCAGUGGGGAAUAUUGGACAAUGGGCGAAAGCCUGAUCCAGCCAUGCCGCGUGUGUGAAGAAGGUCUUCGGAUUGUAAAGCACUUUAAGUUGGGAGGCGUUACCAACAGAAUAAGCACCGGCUAACUUCGUGCCAGCAGCCGCGGUAAUAC